UUCGUAGGUGGUGCGGCAAGUUGGAAGUGAAAUCUCUGGGCUUAACCCAGAGGCUGCUUUCAAAACUGCCGCGCUCGAGUGCGAGAGAGGUCAGUGGAAUUGCAGGUGUAGCGGUGAAAUGCGUAGAUAUCUGCAGGAACACCCGUGGCGAAGGCGGCUGACUGGAUCGCAACUGACACUGAGGAACGAAAGCUAGGGGAGCAAACAGGAUUAGAUACCCUGGUAGUCCUAGCCCUAAACCAUCAGAACUUGGGGUGGCCCGCGUAGGCGGGUCGUCCCGUAGCUAACGCGUUAAGUUCUGCGCCUGGGGAGUACGGUCGCAAGACUGAAA
rnacentral:rRNA from 1 species